rnacentral:rRNA from 1 species
UACGUAGGGUGCGAGCGUUAAUCGGAAUUACUGGGCGUAAAGCGUGCGCAGGCGGUUGUGUAAGUCUGUCGUGAAAUCCCCGGGCUCAACCUGGGAAUUGCGAUGGAGACUGCACGGCUAGAGUGUGUCAGAGGGGGGUAGAAUUCCACGUGUAGCAGUGAAAUGCGUAGAUAUGUGGAGGAACACCGAUGGCGAAGGCAGCCCCCUGGGAUAACACUGACGCUCAUGCACGAAAGCGUGGGGAGCAAACAGG